rnacentral:rRNA from 1 species
AACAAACGCUGGCGGCGUGCCUAAUACAUGCAAGUCGAACGGGGAAAGCUUUCGGGUGAGUACUAGUGGCGCACGGGUGAGGAACACGUGGGUAAUCUUCCUCAGAGUGUGGGAUAACUAGUCGAAAGAUUAGCUAAUACCACAUAAGACCACAGGAUCUGCGGAUCUAGAGGUCAAAGGUUUUUCGCUCUGAGAUGAGCCCGCGUAAGAUUAGCUAGUUGGUGAGGUAAUGGCUCACCAAGGCGACGAUCUUUAGCCGGUCUGAGAGGAUGAUCAGCCACACUGGAACUGAGACACGGUCCAGACUCCUACGGGAGGCAGCAGUAGGGAAUAUUGCACAAUGGAGGAAACUCUGAUGCAGCGACGCCGCGUGAGUGAUGAAGGACUUCGGUUCGUAAAGCUCUGUCGUAUGGGAAUAAUAAAUUGAAUGUACCAUGCAAGAAAGGAUCGGCUAACUUCGUGCCAGCCGCCGCCGUAAAAC